GGUCUAAAAUGACUAAGAGUGUACGGAUCGUUUGGUUGCAUAUAAUUAAAAAAUACGGUAUAGUUAAAGAUAUAUGUAAUUGAAAAAAAAGUAAUUAUAAGUUUACGCAUUUUGAUUGGAUAUAGUAGAAUAUAUCGUAAUUAUAAAUAAUUUAUUCAACUGCAUGCAGUUAAGAAGUGCAUUUUUAAAAUUUUAUCACUUUAUAUAUACAAUUAUGAGAUUACAUCCAAUGUAGAACAAAAAAAUAUUUUCUAUUCAACAAGUGAUAAGAAAAGUAAGUUUAUCCACUCUCUUCAACUACUGCAAUUGAAACUGGAGUCAAUUUAGGCAUAAUUCUAACUAUUACGGUUGGAUCUUUUUUCAUGCAGUUCUUACUGCUGGAAUUGAAUUCAAAUAUAUCCAACUAAAUACUAGAUUUGGAUCUAUAUGUAGUUACAACCACAUGUAACUAUAUAGUCACGUAGUGCAGUGUAAUUUGUCACUGUUAUUUAUUGAUAGUCGGCAAUAAUUUUGUACUCGAAGUAUUUACAGAAUGUUGUGCACUACAUGCGCUAUUUGAAAAACAUGGCUAAACCAAAUAGACCUUGAAUUUAAAAUUACUCUUUUCAACUAUUGCAGUUAGAACUGCGGCUAAUUUGGAUAUAGCUUCAAUUGCCGUAGUUGGGCCUCUAUAUGCAAUCCUCACUGCAACAGUUGACUUCAACUAAAUUCGAAUUUGGAUAUGUACAUAGUUAUAACUAUGAGGCAAUUAGAACUACAUACAACCAAACAGUUUCUUAAUGCGGUGCAGUUCAACCUUUUUAGAAUUUUUUUUUUUGAUAAAUAUCAACGGCAAGAUUGCUACAAGUUACCUUGUUUUUUUGUUUAAAAUUACUCUAUUCAACUAUUAUAGUUGGGAGUUAAAACUAUGACUAAUUUGGGUGUAAUUCCAAAUUCCAAUCGCCGCAGUUAGGUCUCUUCAUGCAAUCCCCACAAUAAUAGUUGAUUUCGACUAAACUUUGAUUUUGAAUCUAUAACUAUAAUGUAGUUAGAACUAUAUACAACCAAACAACUUCUUAAUGCGGUUGUUAAAUAUAAAAAUGUUUAAACACCAUUAUCUAACAGCUUAAGCUUUUAAAGUACAACGGUUGUUUCACAUGAUAUCAGAGUAGAAGGUCCUGAGUUUAAGUCAUGUCAGACCCCUAGUAUAAUUAAUUUCCUCUCAUUUAUCAAGCCCACAUCAUGGGCCGACUAAAAAGUCUCGAGUCCAGACGUGAGGGGGAGUGGCUUCAGCUUUUAGAGUACAACGGUUGUUUCACAGUAUAGCUUAUCACUUUAAUUUACUGAUAGUUCACAAUAAUUUUGUACUCUUGUACCGUUUGGUUCAGAUAUAAGCAAGAACUAGCUAUUACAGGGAUAGGUACAAGUAUGGAGAUAAGAAAAAUAGUGUUUGGAUGAAAAUUGAGUUGUUCCCGGGAUAAGAACAAUUUUAGGUAGUUUUAUAUAAAAAAUGGAGGUGUUGGUUGGGAUAACCGAGAACUACUAUUCUCGAAUAAAAAAUUACGUUUGGGUAUAAAAGGAGAAUAAGGGCCUAUUCCUAUCUCUAUCCCCUAACCAAACGCUCAUAAAAAGUAUUUACAGAAUAUUGUACACUACAUGCGCUAUUUGAAAAGCACAGCUGAACCAAAUAGACCCUGAAUAUUUUUAGAAUUUUUUUUAAUAAAUAUUACACCAACACACACCUCCAAAGGUAAUACAGCUGUCACCAGCCUAUCCCUAUCUCCGCCCCCAUCCUCCCAUCAAUACUAGUAGCCUAAAACAUAACUAACAAAGACCAAACAAACAUGAGACUCACUAGAGAUUCUUCCACCCUUCUAGAAUAAAUAAAAAAAAAAUUUAAAAAAUCCUAAAUUAUAUUUUCAAACUACGAAUUGCGUGACACUUUAGUCUUUAAAUCUUAAUUUAUUAUAGCUUUUAACUCGAAUUUUUAAAAUUUUAUUAUUAAGUUUUAUAACCUAAUUUAAUUGACUAAAUAUAGAAUCAAUUAUGAUACUGUAAUAUCACAAUCAUAUCAGCAAUACAUCUGUAUAUAGUUAAUUGUAAGAGUUUUAAAGAUUUGAGUAAAAAAAUUAUAGUACAUCAAAAUUUGGGAACCAAAAUAUUUAAUCUUUAUAUAUAGUUAUAAAAAAUAAAAAAUUAACUAACAAAAUAACAAAGGGGUGGGAAAAGUCUCUCUUGUUAUGCCUUUUUCCCCCUUUGACUCUUGCCCUUCUUCCUCCCACCUUCCUAUCACAUUAAUUAAUUAUAAUUUAAUCAUUUAUU
rnacentral:lncRNA from 1 species